rnacentral:rRNA from 1 species
UACGAAGGGUGCAAGCGUUAAUCGGAAUUACUGGGCGUAAAGCGUGCGUAGGCGGUUUCUUAAGUCUGCUGUGAAAUCCCCGGGCUCAACCUGGGAAUGGCAGUGGAUACUGGGAGGCUAGAGUGUGUCAGAGGAUGGUGGAAUUCCCGGUGUAGUGGUGAAAUGCGUAGAGAUCGGGAGGAACAUCAGUGGCGAAGGCGGCCAUCUGGGACAACACUGACGCUGAGGCACGAAAGCGUGGGGAGCAAACAGG